CGCUCCAGGGGUGCUGGCAGCGUCACGGCCCUGGGAAGCGGGAGGAAGGCUGGGCGGGAAUAUCCCUUUGGAAUGCUUUAGGGGGAUGGGGCCUGUGAAAACCUGGGUCAGUGGGUCAUGGACCCACCCGUGACCGAGCAACCUGCCUGCCCUGGGACAGCCCUCUGCAGUUACCAGUACUUUUGACUCCGAGGAAUGCAAGGCCUGUCGGCACGAAGCGGGUGUGGCUCCGGUGCGUGGCUGUGGGCGGACAGCACUCAGGCUGUUGUGGCACCUGUGUUCCUGUGAGCAUGGAUGAACUCUUACAUCGUCUAGGACUUUGUGACCUUGCAACAAUGGACGCAGAGAUUUGAUUUAGAGCAUUCUGUGAAAUGACUUCUGUGAAAUGAUGCAUGCUACAGACUUCACAGGAUCCACAUCAUUGCUGGUUUUGAGGAAAAAACAAGGCCCCAUCUACAGUUUUUAUUUGCAUAAUGCUGCUUCCCAUGCAGAAGGUUGCCAAGAAAACAGAGCAUGAAACCUGUCACAGAAAUGCAACAAAGAGGAUUCAGGGGCUUUAUUUUCAAGUAGAUCUGAACCGAUUUCAAUGUAUUUCAUUGCCAUAAAAAUCAAAAUAGAAAUGUUCUUAGUGUUUAGGUUUGUUAUUAAUAUUUCUCUUAAUCGUGUGCCAAUUUUAAGGAAAGGAGCAAAUAGUAGAAAAAAAUGUAGCAGGUAAGAACAUACAUUAGGCCCAGUAACAAAACCAGCUACCCACAACCACAAUCUUCUCUUGACAUAGCAGCUUUUUAGUACAGUUCUUCAAGGCUGUUUCUGUUCUCAGUUAUCACAGCUUUAAUAUAACUUACAAUCACUUCCUAGAGACUUAGUUAUCCGGAUUUUACGGAGCGUUAUCUGCUUUAGGGAAAACCAGAAUGCUGCAUACAGUAAUCUGUCGUGCAAGAGCAAGAGCAGCUGGUGUAGCUUACAUAAAGUGGCAAAUAGCCCAAUGCAAUAAAAUGUGAGCAUGUUCAUAGCAAGAGCAACUAUUGGCCUAGAACAGAUGCCAGAAUAUGUUUCUGUUUGGAUCACAAAUAAAAUUAUCUGUUUAUCUUCUGUCAUAAUGAAAAUAAAACAACAGGAUUCCAUUUCCUUAAAUUUGGGGGUGACAGAUUAUCUUCAAAAUUUAACUUUUCUUUUUUUUUGUUGUUCUUUGUUUUACAUAUAGUUAGUGCUCCCAGUUACAAGAUCUGGGUUAUCACAUAGAUCUAAGCAAGCUGAAAUCCAAUUGGUUAAUUUAUCUAUCAAUCACCUUAUCACCUUAGCUGUGGCUUUGGAGGGAGGGUUGUUUCUUUCUUUUGGGGUGGGGUUUUUAUUCUGUUCUGGGGUUUUUUUACAUAAAAGCAGAACUAGCUAAGUGGAACACAGAAUCAGUAAGGGGUAUUUGUGGUUUUGGUUCUUUUGUUUUGGGUUUGUUUUUUUAAAGGAAGGAGAUUUUCUAUUCAAGCAUUUAGUUCCUGUCUCACACAGUUUAUUCUUUUUCUACUAGUUGUACUGCAAUAACAUUAACCACCAGCUGUACUUGUAUCACAAAUGACUAAAUGCUCUGCCUGUGUAUUACUAAAAGCACAUAGGAAGAAGGCUGGAACUAGUCGGCAUCCUAGCUUCAAACAUAUAGUAACUGAUAGUACAGCAAAGAUUCCUGUGGUAGAGAUGAGAGACAAGAUAUGACCUCCUUAAGACUUCUGAAGCUAUUGAAAUACAGACUAAAAAUAGUAGCAGUGAUCUCCAUCACAUCAGGACCCAUCCUGUCCAUGGGCUUAGCAGCAAUUUUAUCACUAACUGAAGGGUGGGCAGUCUGAUGUGCUGUUUUCCAUAUGGCUCCAUCAGAAAGAUGAUCUUAUGAAGACUCUAGAUGCUGUCGUAAGAGCUCAGUAGUUUCUCCUGUUGAGAAGGCAUUUACAAAUCCCCUUUAAGGCUGUAUUUUCUCUCUUUUAUCUCUUUUUAAAACUACAUCACUUAGGUACUGCAAGAGUAUCAGGUCCCCACUUUCUACUCAAAGGGCCCUGCCAGAAAUGUUUAGUGUUUCAAAGAAUUAGUCCCUUAAAAGUCUUAUUUUCCUCGUCGUUGAAAGCAACACAAACUGUAGGCCCACAAAUACAUGUAGCCAGAGUUUUCAAUCAACUCUGCCUGUAAGCCACUGACUAGUUAUUUGCUGAGGAGUGCAAUCCCUCCACAGGUCAAUAUUAACAGGUAUGAGAUAGGAAGGAUCUAGGGAAAGCAAAGUGGCUGCUUUGGUUCAUUUUCUCCAUCUUUUUGUGGGCAAAAUUGUAAUGGUACUAAAACAUAACCUUUUACAUAGUAGUAACAGCAGUAGCAUGGCUUAACUAUAUGUGACAGCCACAGUGACUCUUCAUGCAAUAUGUUUAAUGAUCUGUGUUUAAUGAGAGCUGAGACACUUCCUGGAAGCUGUCCAGAACAGUCCUCC